GGGAAAAAAAGGAAACCGAACAUCCCUUUGUCGACGCACAUCGUAGCAGAAUUACAGACGGUGCGUUUGAAGCCGUUAGAAGGCGCGCAAGCAUUAUCAACUGAGGAUUUAUCUGCUGGAUAUUUGGAGCACAAAUGAGAACAGCUCAAGAAGAAGAAACUAUAGCCUGGAAUCCUAAACCUCUGGCCUGCUAUGUCCCCUUGUCAGCAUCUUCUCAAUGGAAGUCCUUCAAUUUCAGAAACACAGACAUAACCAGAGGAGACUAUCUCAGAUGGCAAAUGAGAUUUUAAGAUCAAAGUCAAAUUAAUGUUUAUAAAUAUUUUGGUGACUUAUUUGAAGGACACUAAAAAAAUCUGACUACAUUAAGAUCUGAAAGCAGCCUGAUAUAUAACAAUCACAGCAAAAUUACGUUUAGUCAACAUUUUAUAAGCAUAUUUUUAGUAGAAGAUUUAAUGUUCUAACACCUAGGCAGGCCUCGACUAUUUCUGGAUGCCAGCACAUAAUUUGAAACCUGAACAUAGGAUCAAAUAAUUCUGAAACAAUUUCUGUUCUUAUUUACACUGGUGUACAUCUUAAGUAAUUCCAUGAAACUAUUUAGAACGAGAGAAAUUGGCAGAGCAUGUCAACUGGAUAAAAGAAACUGAAAAGCAGAAUUUAAAAUAAAAAAGCCAACAUUUAGCCCAAGUGCUUACAGAAACUACUCACAAAACAUCAUAAAGGGCAGAAAAUUAAUGUUUUAGGAUUUUAACUUUAGGUGCCUAAAUCAGUACACUGGUGUUUCUUCUCAGGUUUGGUUUUCAUAAUAGAGUUUUUUAAAGCAAACUUUUGAGUAUCCACUAAAUAGAUUCCUGCCUGAAUUAUUCCCUGGAACACCUUGUCUGACUACACUGUCUAAAUCCAGUUUAAGGACCUUAAGCAUCAUGCCUGAAGAAGGUGCAAUAACCCCACAAUCUCUUCAUCUCACAACAAGCCACUUGGAUUUUGGUCUGAACAAGAAUAAUCUCAAUAAAGAAGGUUGUGCCCUGUACUCUGUCCACCUCACUUGCAUUAGUCAAAGUAAAAAUAUAAAAAAAUCCUCCAGCUAAAAAUAUUUAUAGAAAAGAUUGAUUAGAAAGUUAUUUAUCAACCAUAAUCUUGGACAUUGAAAAUAUCUUCUAUUUAGCACAUUCUAUCCAAAUGUAGAACCUAUGCCACAAAUAGUACAUUGUCAAUAGUGCAGAAUUGAAAUGGGAAGUUUCUAUAAAUCUGUCAAAUUUAUAUUUUGGAGCUGCAUUUAUUAAGGAAAAUAACUACUAAACAAUGAUCAGUAUUACAGCUGCAUUUUCCCUCUAAUCUCAGGAAAAGAUUAGAAACUGUAAAACCAUAUAUAAAUCAAAACCAUUUCCAAGGCCCUAAGGGCCUUGAUUUCUCCUGAGUAAUGAGUUCUAUUCCUUCGUCUCUUAAAAAUGUGUUUAUUAACAUUAAUAAAAUUUACAAUCAUGUGCAUUAAACAACCUUGUUUGGUCAUUUUCCAAGCAGCCUCUUAAAUGUGUGCUUCAGAGGAGCAUUAUUUAAUGCCAGUAUUACCAUGUUUUUAUUAUUGUUGUUAUUUCAGAAAAAUAUUGUAUUUAGUUAUUUGCUUGGCUACCAAUAGGAAUACCUUAGUUCAAAAAAUUUGUCCCUUUUCACAUAGUAACGCUUCCUGUAAAGCUCUGUAGGUUGUUUCCAAUACCUUCUUGUAUUUAUAUUUAAACCAGCACAAUUCUGCAUUUUCUUUUACUUUUUCAAAUAAACUAAUUUAAUUUGUAA